rnacentral:lncRNA from 1 species
AACAAAUCAGGCAUUUUAAGGGUCAUGCAAUGCAUCAAACUAGAAAAAGGAUUCCCCAAAAACAAGCAAGUGGAAAACUUCCUGCAGGAAAUGGGAAGGAAGCACCUGAGCAUUUUGCAGACCUGAGAUUGCAUUCAAAUGCAUUUGCAAGGAUCCAGGCAAAAAGACUUUCCUUCUGUCCUUUCCAAUGAGACUUCAGGUACAGAAUAUUCAUGACCAUCACCCUGCUUUUAAUUCAGAAGAUGAACACUGGUGUGUUGUCCUUGAAUGGGGAUAAAAUGAAGGAGAACAUGUAUGCAAAAGUGAGUUCAGCCACUUCCCUUUAUACUACUUGACAAGUUUCCUCAGAAUUAGUACAUCUAUAUUACUA